GCCAGCGUAGCUCAGUCGGUAGAGCAGCUGAUUCGUAAUCAGCAGGUCGGAGGUUCGAUCCCUCUCGCUGGCUCCA
rnacentral:tRNA from 5 species